rnacentral:rRNA from 1 species
UACGUAGGGGGCAAGCGUUGUCCGGAUUUAUUGGGCGUAAAGAGCGUGUAGGCGGCUUUACAGGUCCGUUGUGAAAACUCGAGGCUCAACCUCGAGACGUCGGUUGAAACCGUAUGGCUAGAGUCCGGGAGAGGAGAGUGGAAUUCCCGGUGUAGCGGUGAAAUGCGCAGAUAUCGGGAAGAACACCCGUGGCGAAGGCGGCUCUCUGGGACGGUACUGACGCUGAGACGCGAAAGCGUGGGGAGCGAACAGG